ensembl:lncRNA
AAGCGCCCUCUGCGGGAAUGAAGUCAUCCUACCCUUUUCUGGGUGCGCCCAGAUAACCGACCAGAGCGUUCCUUUCCCAAGCUCUGGGGCCUGAGGACUUCCAGCUACUCCACCAGGUUCUCAGGUCCUGGACUCCGUCCUAAUUCCUCACCUCCUACUGCGAGCCUUGCACAGGACGAGAGAAGGCCUCUAGAGUAUGGAGGGAGCCAUCAGCUUGAUGCAAGCUCUUUGAAGCAGGAUAUAAAAACAUGAAGGCAACAGUCAGGCAUCAUAACAUUUUAUGGUGAACUGAAGAAACGCAGGCUUGCACAGGCCGGUUAACAUUUCAGAAGACAUGCCGGUGCUUGACCUAAAGCAAGGCGGCCCACAAGUGGACUGAAAAACAAUACUAGCUCUCUCUCACAGGGCUUGAGGAG